AAUAAAAUAUUAACCAAUGACAGCGCGGCUCCAAGAGCUCCCACCCCCGCGUGGAGGAGGCCGGGCAGCGCGCGGAGGGUUGUUGAAGGCGGCGGACAGGACGGCCGCCUGCCCCGCGCUGUCUGAUCCCCAAACCCUCACCUCCAUAUCUGCCACGGAGCUCGAGCACGAGAAGCCAAAAGAGCAAAGUGCGCUUUCUUUACUUUACUUUUCUUUUCUUUUCACCAUGAUGAAGUAAAAACACACAUACACACAAUACGACCCUCCGAGCGAACCAGCUAAAGCUUCAAACCGCUCGUGCACCACCAGCAGCGGAUUCACUUCGCCAGCGGACGCGCGUGUUUACAAACACGUGAAAUCGUCUCGAGCGCAGCCUAUAUGGUUAUAAGAUCACUAUUAGAUCACUGAAAACACUGCGGCGCUCCGUGUCUCCAGGGCUGGAGACUCAGAAUAGACGACUUAAUCUUUAAUAAGUCUCGUUCGUCCAAAUGAUCAGACAAUCAUUUUGAAACGAGAAUGUGAUUCCUCCUGCAGAAGAGGAGGAGAAGAAGGAGGAGGACUAGAGGCAGAAGAACCCGGGAGCGACGCGGGGAUGGAGCGGUGUUGGAGCGGUGUUGUUGGAGAGCAGCAGCGGGGUGGAGAUCCACCAGCUGUGGGUAACAGAUGGGGGCGCUCCAAUUACCCUCGGGAAUGGAGGAUUCCUCACAUACCAACCACACUGUGCCACCGGUCAGCCUAUCAGCUCAGAGGACAGAUACCGCACAACACGACUUCCACCUUCCACGCAGGUGCUCUGAUAACUGAUAACCUACAUUCAGACAUCAUAAUGCAGGUUAAUGUAUUUUUUAUUAUUUAUGUAUGUUUUCUAAUGUGCCUUUUUUGUUGAGAAGUCAGAUCAUGAUAAAAAGUGUCGGAAAUAUGCCUAAUAAGAUCCAAAUAAUAAUUUAUCAAUAAUAAAUAAUAAAUAAUACGGGUGUAAUCGGGUUUUUGCGAUUAAUGUAGGAUUGAAGCAUGGCUAUUAAACAGGAUCCGAGUGUAAUGUAUUAUGUAUUACUAAAUUCGAUGAAAAUGUACUUUUUAAGAAUGCUUUUGUACAUUAAAGACAUCCAACAGCUCUCGUGUUUAUCGCCAGCAAAAAUAAGAGGAACAACAACAACCGCAAAAAAAGAUAAAGAUCUCAUGAGGUUAACGGCGGGUUGCCAUUGUUUCCUAUGUGUUCCAUAAUCCCCCUCGUUUCCCUGGCCUUUAUGCCGAAGCUGACCUCGUCGUUUCCUCUCCACUGACCGCGCUUUGUGUGUUUAAAUGCAACAAGUGCUCUGAUUUCCUCCACUUACUUUAUAUAGACGGACGCUGAAAUAACCCAAAGAUAAGGAAACAGCGAUUUAAUAAAUAUCGCGACCUAAUUUUAAAAUGUUUUUCUUUGUUGUAAUGAAUUUGUUAGCAGUAUUAGCACAUAAGGGGAUUUGAAAUAAACAAAAAAAGAAAUAAGAAGAAACAAACGUACUUCGUGAAACAAAAACAACCUAAAGAAUUAACACGAUUAAAGCGUUUACGGUUGGAUCAUUAACUAACACAAUACUUAUGCGGCAUUCAUAUAUAUUUAAUUUUUGAAAAAAAGAAUGUUGUAAUAAGAUUGUAUAAUGUUUAAAUUCUGUUACUGAUCAUAAUCAGCUUUGCUUGAGGUUGAAUUGAUGGAGAACGGAUCUCUAAUUUUCAGGGAAAAAUAAAUAAGUAAGACAGGCAGACUGAUUUAAAGAUUUAUAUAUAAAAUAAGUCUUUCUAUCGAUGCCCAUUAAACUGUAACUGUGUUUGCUUUGAUAACGUGGGUCUAGGCUAUUAAGGGGUCUGCAGAGAUCCACGUAGUUUCGAUCACAUCUCUGAGGAGAUGCUCUUCUGUCUUUAAGGUAAGUUAAUCAAACGACAAACACACUUAAUCUCUUCCUAUGUGGAAUUAACAGUAGCUGACGUGAUAUUAGUGUGAACACUGUUUUUUUUUUAUCACAGAUAGUUUCACACCGCGGCUUAUUUUUCUAUAAAUGGAUCAUGGCUCAUGAUUAACACCUUUAAUCUAUCUAUAAUUACCAAGAUAACAGAAUAUAGUGGAGAGCAAAGAGCGGUCCGUCGCCCAGAACGAAUUAUCUGGUCGUUUUUCACUUUUGAUAACAUUAAACAAACAAAUUAAGCAACAUGUUGUGUGUUUAGAUAUAUUUUCCAAUUUACCACCUGAUAUGUUUGAUAAAACAACCAAUAAUAUUACAAUAGUUUAAAAAUAAUGUAAUAAUGUAAAUAAUAGCAUGAUUUCUGAUUGUUGUAGAAACCACUUUAAUUCUGUAUUUGAAUAAUGAUUGAAUGAACUAUUUAGGACCUGAACAACUUCAGAUCACUUCACUGUAAAGGUGAGACACGACUGAAAGUGUAUUAAUUAUAAGGAUAUUAAGAUUGCUUUGCAUAUUUGAGAAGUUUUGGUUCUAUUUUAGAUUUACUUGUCAUGUUUUCAGUGUGAAACUAUGAUAGCUCUAUAGUAUAAAUCGUCAAAUUAACAUUUAUACCUCAAUUCAGCACUUAAAACACUUUCUAUCGUGUCUUACCUUUACAUUAACGUACUUUUACAUUAAAUUUGUUCAGAUCCUGAUAGUUUGGCAGAAGUAAAACUUUUAUGCACACUUUUAUGCUUUUUCCUGUUAAUCCCCGAACAUUUUAAACAUUUCUGCGGCUAGAAAGUCGAUCCCUGUGUUUUUAUUUUAAAACGAAGUUUUUUUAAGGUCAAAAAUAUACACAAUUAUAGAACGUUAUAAAUCAACCAUACGGUGUUGCGUGUUGACAGAAUUACGCGUUAAAGCGGAGUUCCAAUGAAUUCUAUUGUUUCUUUGAAUGCGAUUUUAAUUGCUAUUGGAUUAUUGUAAACAAAACCUGUUGACUCUUUACAGCAGGGAUAUCUGGAACCAAGGGUCGCCAUAUCUAUACACAAACAUCCUGGUUACUUUAUUUACUAUAUGAAACGAAAAGUGAAUCUAAGCGAUUUUAUUUGCAACACCAACGAAGGUAACAAAGAUACAUGUCUUAGUCAACAAGUCUAUUUUAUGUAGGAACUUUGUAAAGGCAUUAAAAUGUUCAGGAGUCUACUUCCGGUCGAUCAACCAUGUGAACAAUUUUGAUUUGUCAAAUUUCCCUUUUACACCAAUCCAUUCUGAAUUAAUUCACAUCGUAACAAUUAACUACGUUAAUUACAACAUUGUGUCAAUAUCAAACAUUAAUUUGGAUGUGAAUGUGUUUUACAUUCAAAUUAAACAGUCAUCAUAUACUUUUACAGACCUCUUUUAUGUAUUAAACAGUGUUUUGUAGUCUCUUCAAUUACAUCACCAUUUUAACAGGUAUUUCUUCCCAUAUCCCGUGACUGAAUUAAUGAUUCAGUUUUACAGCAAUACUGUAAAACUAGGCAAUGUAGAAGCUUGGUCUAAAAGUUAUGGCUUAAUGGUCUUAAUAAGCAUCUUAUUUGUAGAUUAGAUAUGCCAAAAUGGGCAUGGCUCUGUACCAACAGUAAAAAUGCCCUAAAUCUUCCUAAUCUGCUCUGUCCGUUGUUGGUCAUUAUAGGCUAGAAACUCAUAAACCUGAUUGAUUUUACUGUGGAAAAAGAUGCCGAUUUAACUCAUCUGCUCAUCUUAGAGAUCAGACGAAAGGUGAGAAUAUCCAGGUUUAUUUUUCUCAUUUAUUAGACAGGUGUUUCUAAAGCAUGACCUAACUUUAAAAUUUGGAACCUGUUUCUAGUGCAUUUUUAAUGACUUUUUACUAAAGAUCCCCCUUCCUGUAGAAUUGAAAAUUAAACUGAAUAUAAUAUAGUAUAAAGUACUACUGUAUUAUAGUUGGGAUUUGAAUUUUAAUUGUGGUAUCACUGCUAAAGUAAAUGAUUUAACCAUGAUUUUACCGAAUUUCACAUACUACCAUCAGGUAAGGCAGUGCAAACAGUGACAGGUACAUUUUUUUAUUUUUAUUUUUUUUUGCACUAUUUAAACUGUAUGUAUCAGAUGUCUGUGUUUGUAUGUUUCUCAACAUUAAACAUUGUUGUAAUGGUACAA